UGGGCAUUCAAAUAGAAGAAAUACUUGCUUUAUACAUCCAUGACCCACUUACACCUGUUCCCCUAGAAUAAUGAAGGUACUUACUGUACAGUAGGUCAAUUACAUCAUUACCACAGUGUACACAUACUCAUAAACUUAGGAAAAAAAAUAUUGCAUUGCAAUAUUGUAUUGCAAAAAUAUUGCAUUAAUACAUUUUAUUUAUAGUUUAUUGCUUAACUACUAUAAAUGUUGCAGCUCAUGAAAGCAGAUGCAUUUCAACCAUGUCAUCAUAAUAAAGUAUGUAUUUUGUAUUGACAUGACUAUACUCUAAUAGGCAAGUAAUCUAAAAAAAGUAGUGAAGUAAGUGUAUGGUGAUUACUGCUAAUAUGUAGUGAAAUGAGAGCACGAGGAAACAGAAAAUGCUCAAAUACCCAACGUUACUAAUAAUCAUUUUGAAUAGUGUUUUGGUCACCUUCCACCCUUGAAAAUGCGAAACAGCGCCCCCUCAAAUUAACACUUGGAAGGCGUGGUCAAACCGGGUAUUGCACGCAGGUAGGAAGCGGGAACUCGGGAGCUGGCAGAAGAUAGAUUAACCAAUCAAAUAAGACUGACGUCACCCCACAGCCUGUCGUGAUUAGCCUGGAGUCUGUGAGUGUAGUUCCGUUUGCGGACCUGUAGAUGGCGUCAAACUCCACCUGCUGAAAGUCCCGCCAGACGCCCAGAACUUCAAGUGCAGCUCGUGUGGUUCGGUUUUGUAAAGCAAACCCCUCUUUACUUUUAGUCGGUUAUUGAAGUGUGCGUGACGUCAGAUACUCAUAUGCUAGUAAAAAUGACACGGUUCAGCCGCCAUGUUAAUGGCGCGCAGGGGCCUGAAGGAGUGCAGCACGCGGACGUUCACCUCCAGCGUCUCUGCGAUGUUUGUGUCAACUGUACUUAAGGGGACAGAUGCACUCAAACAGUGGUCAGGCCGUCAGCGCUUCAACACAUUUAUCGCUGAAGUGAAGCUACGCUGCCCUGCUUCCCACGCGCUAUUCUGCAAUGGAGGCAAGUUUCCCUCGCGCCCAUCUUGGAAUCGGUUAUUAAUUGUGCUUUCACGUCGCUUCAUGAUGCUAAUAAAACAACAAUGCUCUUCCAAAUCAUCUGAAAAAUGAGCCCAAGGACAAUGGGCACUGCCGAGGAAAGGCGUGGUUGUCCACUUUGAGAAACGAUGGGACUCACAACCAAGAUUAAUGGAACUCAGGUGGCUUUUAAUUAGUGCAGCUGUGCUCAUUAAUUAUCUGCGCACAACACAAAUAUUUUUAUAUUUGGGGAAAGUCUUGAUUUAUUUGAUUUUGUUUGCCCGUGGAUCUAGAUGGAUGACUCUUCAUGUUACGUUUUGCCAGCACUAAAAGGAGAUGAAAUACUUCUUUCCCAGUUAGCUUGUCUGCUGCAAACAUGCUGUUAUUGAUGAAGCUGUGUAACGUGACACUAAUCAUGGACAUAAAGAGCAAUCGUAUGAGAUGGUCAUAGCGUUUUAAUUUUCUUUCAUCAAAGCACCACAUGAGCUUAGCAGCAAACAUGUUGUGUGUCUCUUAAAGCAGCAAAGAAGACUUUCUAUUGAUUUGUAGUCCUGCUUUGCUUUUUGCUGUAACAGCAGUAGCUGAUGGUCUUAAAUCAUUAAUAUUGUCGUACAGUAGAUUAAAUAAAAUAACCUUCAAAACACUGUUAGUGACUCA
rnacentral:lncRNA from 1 species